ACGGAAGGCAGCAGCGGGGAAUAUUGCACAAUGGGCGAAAGCCUGAUGCAGCGACGCCGCGUGAGUGAAGAAGUAUCUCGGUAUGUAAAGCUCUAUCAGCAGGGAAGAAAAUGACGGUACCUGACUAAGAAGCCCCGGCUAACUACGUGCCAGCAGCCGCGGUAAUACGUAGGGGGCAAGCGUUAUCCGGAUUUACUGGGUGUAAAGGGAGCGUAGACGGUUUGGCAAGUCUGAAGUGAAAUGCGGGGGCUCAACUCCUGAACUGCUUUGGAAACUGUCGAACUAGAGUGCAGGAGAGGUAAGUGGAAUUCCUAGUGUAGCGGUGAAAUGCGUAGAUAUUAGGAGGAACACCAGUGGCGAAGGCGGCUUACUGGACUGUAACUGACGUUGAGGCUCGAAAGCGUGGGGAGCAAACAGGAUUAGAUACCCUGGUA
rnacentral:rRNA from 1 species